GGGAGCUGGAAGCAUGGCAAGUCCUCUGAAAACCUUCCUGGCCUUCCUCACCUGUGCUGUCGGUAAACUGGAAAGCCUCAUUACAGAAGCUGUGCUAUGAUUGGCCAUGAAGGACCAGGAGGCUGUCUGGGUCCUGGUGGAUAAACAAAAUGGGUAAAUGGAUCCAUAUGUCCAGAAAAGCAAGAGGCAGUAUAAUUCCAGUGCUAGGAACAAUCCAUGGUAAUGGCUGUGAACAUCAAGUUCUACUUGUGAGAGUCCCAGAGGCAUCUGGCUGGCACAGAAUACUGGACUUUGGUUUCAUUCUAAUUUGUAUUUCUAAUAUCUAAUUUCAUUCUAAUUUCAUUUGUAUCUGUUGUAGGGCAUAGCAUGAGAGCUGGCUCAGAGUCCUUUGCAUUUCCAAUACUGUGAACACAUUUACCAAGUGUUGCUGAUUUUUCUUCCAUCUUACUGCACAAUUUGAUAGUGCAGUCUUCAAGAUGUGCAGUGGAUCUUUCUAGCUGUCUAUAUCUAUCCAUCCAUGGCAUUCACAAUGUUACAAUUAUGGUACAGUCCAAGAGCAAAUAGUGUUUUAAAGCAUCUUAUGUGGUCGGCUUGUCAGGAAACCUCAUGCUAUGAGUGUCUUGUGUACAGUAAGGAAUGUGGUUUAUUUUGUCUCAGUAAAUGUCAGCAUAAUUGAAACUGCAGUGAUCAAUGUCCAGAGUGUCUUUAAACACAUAAGUGCUUCCUGUUCUUCCCCCUAAUUUUGCCCGGGAGAUCUAUAACAGUUUCCUAUUAUUGCUGUUUUUUCAUCAUUUCCUUCUUUCAUCUCAGUCCAAAUUGUCACAGCUGUAGUAAGGAGGUAGUAUUUAUAUAGAACCAUUUCCCUCCAAGGUUAUAUGUUGAGUUUCCUCCCUCCAUCUCCUUGUUCCAAGGCUUCUAUUGCAAAGUAUAUGGGGAAGAUAUAUACAUUCAAAUCGUUGCAGGCUUCCCCACCCAAAACUGUCUUCCCAAAACUGCUUUUCUACCAAUACUACAGAUAACAUAUUUUUUUCUUCUUUGCAGAGAAACGUUGCUGGGUGGGGAGAAGAGGGGGGUUGAACAAAAAAAUGGCUGGGAAUGAAAGGGUUAUGUGGCAUCUCCUUUUGUCAUUCCGAUCUACAGACUCCCAUUAUUGCUUUAAAAACAGAUCAGAAGACUGCUACACAUGUUCAAUGUUCUGGAGAAUUCAGUCCUAGCCAGCAUUUAUGGGGUUAAUUUGUUGUUUAGAUCUGUGAGAGCUCCCCUCAGUGUCUGGGGAGAGACAGGGUUUGAGGGCAGUAGUGACCCAAUGAUCAUUGGUCCAGAAGUGUCCUAAAAGGUCCAGUCAGAAGUCUGGCUUGAAAUCCUAUCAAAAAGGUGCCUGAAUUUACCAUUUCUCUAAUCCUCUUGGAAAGCUUAUGGACUAGAGGUGUAUAAAAGGAGGCUAGCUUUUGGCCAGAUGGGGAUAAUUAUAUGGCUAUGGAUGGAUGUGCCAAAGAAGAUGUCAGACUCUUCUCCAGCAGAGAAGCCAGGAGAGCUUCAGGAGCAGCAGCUAAAGGAGCUGAUAUUACUUGAAGAGACAGGCGGCAGGAGAAGUUGAGGGAGGAGCUGAGGAAGAGAGUCUUCAGAGCCAGGGAGCCAAGAAGCAGCAAUCACAGCAGGCCUCAUCUUAGGAUUUCCUCGUAUGCAAGAGAAAAGGGAGGAUUUCCUCUUUGAAGGUCAUGUUUGCCAUUUUAUAAAUAUUUGUUUCAAUAAUUUUAAAACUGUGCUGCCAAAUUAAGGAUACCUUUUCCCAUCAAUUAAAAGUUUUAAUCAAUUAAACUAAUGGUUAAAGUGAUUAAAUGUUGCAAAUAAUUGUUUGGAGUCUAGUCUCCUAAGAAAGAUAGCUUGAAAUUGCAUAAUGUUUGUUGUGGGCCACCUAUACAUAGCAGCAAGCAAAGCAAAACUAUACAGCUCUUCCCUCACUUGCCACUAAAUACAAGAUAAACCUAUUUUUAUUAAACUUGCUGGCUAAUGCAAGGUUUUGGGGUAAGGGAUGGGGCAUGGAGCAAGCUAUCAGGCCCACUUCCUGGGAAACCAUUGCCAUGUCUCCAUUUUCCAAUCGCAAUUUGUUUCCUUACGACCUUAUGAAGUCCUCCAUGGGAAAUUGUAGAUGCCAGCGAGCUGGAGGAUUAUCCAGACUUUGUGCCAGAUUUUGAAGAUUUUCCCAUUUUAUUCAAGCAUUUGCUUUCUAGAAAUA